GAUUACAUGUAUGUGCCCAGGAUUACAUGUAUGUGCCCAGGAUUACAUGUAUGUGCAGAGUUCAUUGGAUCGCAUGCUGAACUAGAGUGAAAUGUAGCCUAAACGAGAAACCUGUCUACUUUAUGUUGUGGGGAGGUUAGGGCUGUACAUUUCCCCAUACUUUACAGAAAUCCUGGUUGGAAGAUUCCCUGUCAUUUGAAUGGAGCUCCUCAGAUCUUCCCUGUCUUCUCUCUACUGUUCUCCGUCUGUCCAAUAAAACCACCAAAAAACACAGUUGAAAAAGCAAGGCGUUACCUGAGCAUGUGCUUGACUGAGGUAAACACACGCCCGGUGGAAUUUCACACUGAGAGCAAAGCAUCAUGGGAGUGUAAACAUAGUGUGGGAGGAGAAAGUGAGACCUGCACUAAAGAGCAGCUCUGAGGUAAGAGGAAAGUGUAUGCACACAAAACACCUGACACAGCCAUACACAGCCAUACACAGGUCUGGAUAGGCCUACACACAAAACACCUGACACAGCCAUACACAGGUCUGGAUAGGCCUACACACAAAACACCUGACACAGCCAUACACAGGUCUGGAUAGGGCUACAC